ensembl:snoRNA predicted gene, 23362
UGAAUAUGGUGUCAAAAAAGGCAUAAAUAAAUGCUUUUCGGCCUUUCCUGUCCCUGGAGUUUGGUAUCUUGGGUGUAGGAGCUGCAUAAGUAACAGUA